GUACACAUUGUCUUAGUGCUGUGUUACUUGUGUAAAUAAACUCACCCACCAAUAGAUAAGUGUGCAACCGUGUUCGCGAGCAAAGCGACCUGACAGAAGAAACAAUUGCUGAUUGAAAAUUAUUCUUAAAGGUGCAUUAAUCGCUAUUGAGAAGCCUGCUCAAAUCAGCAGGGAGAGGUCCCAGACUAUGGAGUGGCCCACACUAGGCCCCUAACUCGCUUUGAGGAAUGUACCAUCGCACUAACUGGUGAGGACAUUGACCCUGCCUGCGGCAACAGUGAAGUCGACAGCAAACACCGUCAUGAAGGUCCUGCAAAGUAUCAUCCCUCUCUCUAUGUCAUGACUCAGCCUCUGUGCAUUGCCUGACCCUCACCGUCAACUCCUAAUGUUUGACACACUGAAAUAUAUCAAUAAUUUGGAGAAGUGCUGUCAAUAUUUCGGAAUGAAGGCAGAGUCGGAGGUAGAGAGUUUUCUAGACUACCAAAGGAAGUUACAAAAUAAUAUUGAAAUGGUGGAUGAAUGAGCUAAAAAGUGGCAGAUGGAAUUCAAUCUCAGUAAGUGUAAGAUGAUGU